rnacentral:lncRNA from 1 species
CCUCGGCCUGCUGCGGCGACAGCAGCCCGUUGGUGUGCGGCACGCUGCGGUCCGUACCCGGCCCGGGGCCCGCGCCCGCGCCCGGGUGGAAGCGGGCCUUGGCGUAGUUGCUCACGAACUGGUCCUGCAGGAAAGAGCCGGCCAUGGCGUAGCGGGCCCCGGGCACGAUCUGCGAGCGCGGCGAGUCGUUGGGCGAGGGGGUCAGGCGGUCCAUGUCACAGCCGGUGUAGAUCCUGCGGGAUUGUUUCAGAAACCCCUAGGAAAAAGCCGCGCACGCAGUAAUCAUGAAAGACUGGCCUUCACCCGUGUUCUGGAACCCGAGGUUUGCUGCUGGAAGCCUCCAAAGUACUUAGUGUCUAUUGUUUCCCCUGUGUGAAACUUUCACUCCCACCUCUACUAAUACAAACAAGAAUUACUACUCUG